GACGAACGCUGGCGGCGUGCCUAAUACAUGCAAGUCGAACGCUUCUUUUUCCACCGGAGCUUGCUCCACCGGAAAAAGAGGAGUGGCGAACGGGUGAGUAACACGUGGGUAACAUGCCCAUCAGAAGGGGAUAACACUUGGCAACAGGUGCUAAUACCGUAUAACAAUCAAAACCGCAUGGUUUUGAUUUGAAAGGCGCUUUCGGGUGUCGCUUAUGGAUGGACCCGCGGUGCAUUAGCUAGUUGGUGAGGUAACGGCUCACCAAGGCCACGAUGCAUAGCCGACCUGAGAGGGUGAUAGGCCACAUUAGGACUGAGACACGGCCCAAACUCCUACGGGAGGCAGCAGUAGGGAAUCUUCGGCAAUGGACGAAAGUCUGACCGAGCAACGCCGCGUGAGUGAAGAAGGUUUUCGGAUCGUAAAACUCUGUUGUUAGAGAAGAACAAGGAUGAGAGUAACUGUUCAUCCCUUGACGGUAUCUAACCAGAAAGCCACGGCUAACUACGUGCCAGCAGCCGCCGUAA
rnacentral:rRNA from 1 species